GCCAGGCGUUGUGGCGGGCGCCUGUAGUCCCAGCUACUUGGGAGGCUGAGGCAGGAGACUCGGUUGAGCCCAGGAGUUAGAGGUUGCUGUGAGCGUGAUGGCGUCAGUACUCUACCCAGGGCAACAGCUUGAAACUCUUAUCUCAAAAAAAAAAGACAGAGUCUCACUCUGUUGCCCUGGGUAGAGUGCCAUGGCGUUACAGCUCACAGCAACCUCAAACUUCUGGGUUUGAGCAAUCCUCCUGCCUCAG
rfam:Otolemur garnettii contig015726, whole genome shotgun sequence.